rnacentral:pre_miRNA from 1 species
UGUGUACUCCCUCCGUUCCAAAAUACUUGACUUCCAUUUGUCCAAAAAUGUAUGUACCUAUAUACUAAGACAUGUCUAGAUACAUAUAUAUUUUGACAAAUAGAAGGCAUGUAUUGUGCAACAGAGGGAGUAGAAU